UACGUAGGGGGCAAGCGUUGUCCGGAAUCAUUGGGCGUAAAGCGCGUGUAGGCGGUCCGGUAAGUCCGCUGUGAAAGUCGGGGGCUUAACCCUCGGAUGCCGGUGGAUACUGUCGGGCUUGAGUACGGGAGAGGCGAGUGGAAUUCCUGGUGUAGCGGUGAAAUGCGCAGAUAUCGGGAGGAACACCUAUGGCGAAGGCAGCUCGCUGGGACGUUACUGACGCUGAGACGCGAAAGCGUGGGGAGCAAACAGG
rnacentral:rRNA from 1 species